CAAAAAUUGAAGGCGUGUCCCCGGUUUGGGCACGCCUCUCGUAGCCUUCAGUGAUAUAAUAACCAUUUUUAUUAGGUGAUCCCCUUUUCUCUGUUUGAUACUAACGGUUUUGUUAAUGAUGGAACUUUC
rfam:Vigna angularis cultivar Jingnong 6 chromosome 1, whole genome shotgun sequence.